rnacentral:lncRNA from 1 species
GCAGUGUGAAUAUAUUCAGCAGAUGCAAAGCAGUGAGCAUUAAAAGCCAAGUGUGGAAACUACUGACAAGACAUGGACAUUAUAUCCAGCUAUUUCACUGCUCUGAUCAUCCACACAUCCCGCCACAGCACUCAAACUCAUUCAGUGAUCCUGAUGAAACUACCGAAGUGGACAAGAUCAACAUCAUUGUGAAAUGUGCUGGAAAGACCAUGGAAGUGGACAUGUUCCCACUGGAAAGCAUCUUAGUUUUACUAAAGGAGGCCUGUGACUGGGCAGGGAAGAAACCAGAGAAAAUGUCACUGGUUUAUGAAGGAAACUGUCUGGAUGUGAACAAGACAGUGAGCCAGUAUGGACUACGAGGAGGAAUCACCGUACAUUUGAUUCAUGCCUAGAAAAUGAAUUCUCAGGAGAAAGUUUCUAUUUAUAAUACAAGUACACUACAUAAAAUAUUGUUUGAACUCAAUAAUUGUAUUAUUAUUAGUAGUAUUAGUAGUAGUAGUAGUAUUUAGUACUUUAAAGCAGUGUCUUGGUUUAUUGUUAAAAGCACUGCAUUGCCAUGUACAGUCU